UUGACCCAACACCAUUACAUCAUGCUGACGAAAUACGGCAUCCAAAAUGAUUUGGGGGACUUAACUGCCUGCUGGGAGAGACCCACAGAAAUCAGGACAUUCCGUGACUUCCUGAAUGAGUGGCAACAUCAGUGGAGUUAGCCAGGACCUCCUGCAAACAAAUUCUGGAUAGCCCUUUUCCCCUUCACUCCUCAACAACCCUCUUCAAAACAGUCAAUGCCAACCACCCAGAACUACUACACAACGUUACAGUAACAUACCAGUAGAGAUGUGUAAUGGAUGGGGAAAAACCUGAUUCAACUUUACAACCUCAGCCAGAUUGUUCCACAUGAUCAUAUCACUAACGUUUAUCAAUUCAUAUA